rnacentral:rRNA from 1 species
CGGACGGGUGAGUAAUGUCUGGGAAACUGCCUGAUGGAGGGGGAUAACUACUGGAAACGGUAGCUAAUACCGCAUAACGUCGCAAGACCAAAGAGGGGGACCUUAGGGCCUCUUGCCAUCGGAUGUGCCCAGAUGGGAUUAGCUAGUAGGUGGGGUAACGGCUCACCUAGGCGACGAUCCCUAGCUGGUCUGAGAGGAUGAUCAGCCACACUGGAACUGAGACACGGUCCAG